rnacentral:rRNA from 1 species
UACGUAGGGUGCGAGCGUUGUCCGGAAUUACUGGGCGUAAAGAGCUCGUAGGUGGUUUGUCGCGUUGUUCGUGAAAACCUGAGGCUUAACCUUGGGCGUGCGGGCGAUACGGGCAGACUGGAGUACUGCAGGGGAGACUGGAAUUCCUGGUGUAGCGGUGAAAUGCGCAGAUAUCAGGAGGAACACCGGUGGCGAAGGCGCUGCUCUGGGCCGGUACUGACGCUGAGGAGCGAAAGCGUGGGUAGCAAACAGG